rnacentral:ribozyme from 1 species
AUCGCCCUUCUUCUAUUACUCGGAAUCUCACACUCCCACACCCACUGCUCCUCCGU